rnacentral:rRNA from 1 species
AUUGAACGCUGGCGGCAGGCCUAACACAUGCAAGUCGAACGGAGUGGCGGACGGGUGAGUAAUGUCUGGGAAACUGCCCGCUGGAGGGGGAUAACUACGCGAAAGCGUAGCUAAUAACGCAUACUAUUGGAGCGGCCGAUAUCGGAUUAGCUAGGUGUUGGGGUAAGGGCUCCCCAAGGCGACGAUCCGUAGCUGGUUUGCGAGGACGACCAGCCAAACUGGGACUGAGACGCGACCCAGACUCCUACGGGAGGCAGCAGUGGGGAAUUUUGGACAAGGGGGGAAACCCUGAUCCGGCCAUCCCGCGUGUGCGAUGAAGGCCUGCGGGUUGUAAAGCACUUUUGGCAGGAAAGCGGUACCUGCAGAAUAAGCACCGGCUAACUACGUGCCAGCCGCCGCGGUAAUAC